rnacentral:rRNA from 1 species
ACUCAAAGGAAUUGACGGGGGCCCGCACAAGCGGUGGAGUAUGUGGUUUAAUUCGAAGCAACGCGCAGAACCUUACCUACCCUUAACAUCCCGCGCUACACACAGAGAUGUGUGGUUCCUUUCGGGGACGCGGAGAUAGGUGCUGCAUGGCUGUCGUCAGCUCGUGUCGUAAGAUGUCUGGUUAAGUCCAAAAACGAGCGCAACCCUUGUCUUUAGUUGCCACCAUUCAGUUGGGGACUCUAGAGAGACUGCCGGUGUUAAACCGGAGGAAGGCGGGGAUGACGUCAAGUCCUCAUGGCCCUUACGGGUAGGGCUACACACGUACUACAAUGGCAGAGACAAACCGUUGCCAAGCCGAGAGGUGGAGCUAAUCGGAAAAACACUGUCUCAGUCCGGAUUGGAGUCUGCAACUCGACUCCAUGAAGAUGGAAUCGCUAGUAAUCGCUGAUCAGCAAGCAGCGGUGAAUACGUUCCCGGGCCUUGUACACACCGCCCGU